GCCUUCGUAGAUCAAUGGAAGAUCCUCCACAUGCUGUACAUGGCAAAAUUGUACUCUGUGGAUGGCGCGGGUUCGACUCCUGCCGAGGGCA